CCUACGGGUGGCAGCAGUGGGGAAUAUUGGACAAUGGGGGGAACCCUGAUCCAGCGACGCCGCGUGAGUGAAGAAGUAUUUCGGUAUGUAAAGCUCUAUCAGCAGGGAAGAAAGAAAUGACGGUACCUGACUAAGAAGCCCCGGCUAACUACGUGCCAGCAGCCGCGGUAAUACGUAGGGGGCAAGCGUUAUCCGGAUUUACUGGGUGUAAAGGGAGCGUAGACGGCGAUGCAAGUCUGAAGUGAAAGGCGGGGGCACAACCCCCGGACUGCUUUGGAAACUGUCUGGCUGGAGUGCAGGAGAGGAAAGUGGAAUUCCUAGUGUAGCGGUGAAAUGCGUAGAUAUUAGGAGGAACACCAGUGGCGAAGGCGGCUUACUGGACUGAAACUGACGUUGAGGCUCGAAAGCGUGGGGAGCAAACAGGAUUAGAUACCCUUGUAGUC
rnacentral:rRNA from 1 species